rnacentral:rRNA from 1 species
GAUGAACGCUGGCGGCGUGCCUAAUACAUGCAAGUCGAGCGAACGGACGAGAAGCUUGCUUUUCUGAUGUUAGCGGCGGACGGGUGAGUAACACGUGGAUAACCUACCUAUAAGACUGGGAUAACUUCGGGAAACCGGAGCUAAUACCGGAUAAUAUUUUGAACCGCAUGGUUCAAAAGUGAAAGACGGUCUUGCUGUCACUUAUAGAUGGAUCCGCGCUGCAUUAGCUAGUUGGUAAGGUAACGGCUUACCAAGGCAACGAUGCAUAGCCGACCUGAGAGGGGUUUGAGCCACGCUGGGACUGAUGCACGGUCCAGACUCCGACGGGAGGCAGCAGUGGGGUAUCUUCCGCAAUGCGCUGAAGCGUGAGGGAGCAACGCGGCGUGAGUGAUGAUGGUCUACGGGUCGUAGAAGCCUCUUAUUUGGGAAUAACAUAUGUGUGAGCUGCUGUGCACAUCUUGACGGUAACUGAUUAUAUGGCCACGGCAUUCUUCGUG